CCUGCCCCUAGAGGCCUUGUUGGCAUGGCUGCUGUGUCACACAUGUGUCAGUAGGUGGCAGAGAGGAGAGAGGCUAUGUGUACACUAAGUGUUCUAACCUGUGAACAUCUGAAGAUUAGUAGCCUAACAGA